GCGAUCGUAGUCUAAUGGAUAAAACGAUGGCCUCCGACGCCGUUGUUGCAGGUUCGAGUCCUGUCGGUCGCA
rnacentral:tRNA from 1 species